GUGGGAAAUUGGGAAAAUAUCUUAGGAAAUCAAAAUUAGGAGCGAAUGAACAACGAUGCUUGAGCAAUUCCAAUCAAUCGUUUUUUCUUUUUUGGGUUUUGGCCUUUUGGCUUCAAUGAAUGAAUAUUUGUGAUGAUUGGGAGUUGCCCAGUUGGAGAAUCAUCCACCUCUACUAUUACUAUUGAAAACUAUAAACCACAAACUAGGAGCCUGGAAACAAAGAGCAGAAUGCAGUCAAACAUACGUUUCCAUAGUUAAUUUGAUUGGCUUCGAACAACUGGACAAUUGAUGUGAUGGAUUUUUCCUAUAAUCCAACAAAAAUGGUAACAUUAGUAUUAAACAUUUAGAUGAGAGAGAAAAUGAAUUAAGAGUGAAGAAAACAAAAGAGAAGGGCCUCUCACAAAGUAUGAAGGUGGAAGGUUCCCAACCAAUUUACGCUACAAAUCCAACCAAAAUCUCUCCUCCUCAAUGUCUUACAAACUCCUCUUUUGUUUAAAAUUAAAAUAAAUUGAUUUUUGUAUUAAAAUUUUCAUUCAUUUUCACUUAAAUCUAUUCCAUUACCCUGUUUCUCUACUCAAGCAGAAUGUCCCCCCCCCCCUCUUUUAUUCAAUUAUUAUUGACCCCAAGGCAACAAAAUAUAAAAACU
rnacentral:lncRNA from 1 species